AGUGACCGCUGGCGGCGUGCCUAAUCCAUGCAAGUCGAAGGAAGUGGCGCACGGGUGAGUAAUAUAUAGCUAAUCUGCCCCUUGCUGGAGGACAACAGUUAGAAAUGACUGCUAAUACCCCAUAGCAAGGGAGGAGGCUAUAUCGUAUCCGCUGGUCGGUGGGGUAACGGCCUACCGAGGCUAUGACGCGUAACUGGUCUGAGAGGAUGAGCAGACAAAUUGUAGCUGAGACACGGUCCAAACUCCUACGGGAGGCAGCAGUAGGGAAUAUUGCGCAAUGGGGGAGACUCUGACGCAGCAACGCCGCGUGGAGGAUGACACUUUUCGGAGCGGAAACUCCUUUUGUUAGGGAAGCGGUACCUAACGAAUAAGCACCGGCUAACUCCGUGCCAGCAGCCGCGGUAAUAG
rnacentral:rRNA from 1 species